rnacentral:rRNA from 1 species
GACGAACGCUGGCGGCGUGCUUAACACAUGCAAGUCGAACGGUGAACGAGGGAGCUUGCUCCCUCCGGAUCAGUGGCGAACGGGUGAGUAACACGUGAGCAAUCUGCCCCGAACUCUGGGAUAAGCGUUGGAAACGACGUCUAAUACCGGAUACGACGCGGGAGGGCAUCCUCUCCGCGUGGAAAGAACUUCGGUUCGGGAUGAGCUCGCGGCCUAUCAGCUUGUUGGUGAGGUAACGGCUCACCAAGGCGACGACGGGUAGCCGGCCUGAGAGGGUGACCGGCCCCACUGGGACUGAGACACGGCCCAGACUCCUACGGGAGGCAGCAGUGGGGAAUAUUGCACAAUGGGCGCAAGCCUGAUGCAGCAACGCCGCGUGAGGGACGACGGCCUUCGGGUUGUAAACCUCUUUUAGCAGGGAAGAAGCGAAAGUGACGGUACCUGCAGAAAAAGCACCGGCUAACUACGUG